rnacentral:rRNA from 1 species
AGUUCGAUUAUGGCUCAGAUUGAACGCUGGCGGGAUGCUUUACAUGCAAGUCCGAACGGCAGCACGGACUUCGGUCUGGUGGCGAGUGGCGAACGGGUGAGUAAUGUAUCGGAACGUGCCUAGUAGCGGGGGAUAACUACGCGGCGUAGCUAAUACCGCAUACGCCCUUCGGGGAAAGCGGGGGACCUUCGGGCCUCGCACUAUUAAGGCGGCCGAUAUCGGAUUAGCUAGUUGGUAGGGUAACGGCUCACCAGGCGACGAUCCGUAGCUGGUUUGAGAGGACGACCAGCAGCCACACUGGGACUGAGACACGGCCCAGACUCCUACAGGGAGGCAGCAGUGGGGAAUUUUUGGACAAUGGGGGAAACCUGAUCCAGCCAUCCCGCGUGGUGAUGAAGGCCUUCCGUUUAUGCAAGCACUUUUGGCAGGAAAGAAACGGCACGGGAUAAUACCCCGUGCAACUGACGGUACCUGCAGAAUAAGCACCGGCUAACUACGUGCCGGCAGCGCGGUAAUACGUAGGGAAUAAAGCGUUAAUCGGAAUUACUGGGCGUAAAGCGUGCGCGAGCGGUUCGGAAGAAAGAUGUGAAAUCCCAGAGCAACGCCUGGAACUGCAUUUUUAACUACCGAGCUGAAGAGUGUGUCAGAGGAGGUGGAAUUCCGCGUGUAGCAGUGAAAUGCGUAGAUAUGCGGAGGAACACCGAUGGCGAAGGCAGCCUCCUGGGAUAACACUGACGCUCAUGCACGAAAGCGUGGGGAGCAAACAGGAUUAGAUACCCUGGUAGUCCACGCCCUAAACGAUGUCAACUAGCUGUUGAGGCCUUCGGGCCUUGGUAGCGCAGCUAACGUGAAGUUGACCGCCUGGGAGUACGGUCGCAAGAUUAAAAACUCAAAGGAAUUGACGGGGACCCGCACAAGCGGUGGAUGAUGUGGAUUAAUUCGAUGCAACGCGAAAAACCUUACCUACCCUUGACAUGUCUGGAAUCCCGAAGAGAUUUGGGAGUGCUCGCAAGAGAACCGGAACACAGGUGCUGCAUGGCUGUCGUCAGCUCGUGUCGUGAGAUGUUGGGUUAAGUCCCGCAACGAGCGCAACCCUUGUCAUUAGUUGCUACGAAAGGGCACUCUAAUGAGACUGCCGGUGACAAACCGGAGGAAGGUGGGGAUGACGUCAAAGUCCUCAUGGCCCUUAUGGGUAGGGCUUCACACGUCAUACAAUGGUCGGGACAGAGGGUCGCCAGCCCGCGAGGGUAAUCAGAAACCCGAUCGUAGUCCGAGGAUCGCAGUCUGCAACUCGACUGCGUGAAGUCGGAAUCGCUAGUAAUCGCGGAUCAGCAUGUCGCGGUGAAUACGUUCCCGGGUCUUGUACACACCGCCCGUCACACCAUGGGAGUGGGUUUUACCAGAAGUAGUUAGCCUAACCGUAAGGAGGGCGAUUACCACGGUAGGAUUCAUGACUGGGGUGAAGUCGUAACAAGGUAG